AUUGAACGCUGGCGGCAGGCCUAACAUAUGCAAGUCGAACGGCAGCACGGGGGCAACCCUGGUGGCGAGUGGCGGACGGGUGAGGAAUGCAUCGGAAUCUGCCUCGUUGUGGGGGAUAACGUAGGGAAACUUACGCUAAUACCGCAUACGAUCUAUGGAUGAAAGCGGGGGACCGUAAGGCCUCGCGCGAUUGGAGCGGC
rnacentral:rRNA from 1 species